CAGCUCCCAAGAUGGUGCACUGGUCCCAGAAGAGGAAAGGAUGAGAGGGAGAUGUGAGCAGUUUACCGACAGAGGAAGAAGCCAAAGCAGUAGGAAAAGUUUACUAUCUGAGUGAGACCUGAAGGGUGAUUUAAUCUGGAACAAAAAGAAGUUACUAUGGCCACUCACCAUGCCAGGCACUCACUGUGCCAGAGACCACACUGAUUGACCUUGCCUUAUCUUCUA
rnacentral:lncRNA from 1 species